rnacentral:rRNA from 1 species
AUACGGGGGGUGCAAGCGUUAAUCGGAAUUACUGGGCGUAAAGCGCGCGUAGGCGGUUUGCUCAGUCGGAUGUGAAAGCCCAGGGCUCAACCUUGGAACUGCAUACGAUACUGGCAAACUAGAGUGUGAGAGAGGAUAGUGGAAUUUCCGGUGUAGCGGUGAAAUGCGUAGAUAUCGGAAGGAACAUCAGUGGCGAAGGCGACUGUCUGGCUCAACACUGACGCUGAGGUGCGAAAGCGUGGGUAGCAAACAGGAUUAGAAACCCUUGUAGUCC